rnacentral:tRNA from 1 species
GGGAUUGUGGCUCAGCGGUAGAGCGCUCCCCUAGCAUUGGGCAGGCCCUGGGUUCGAUUCUCAGCACCA